ACGGGGAAACUUACCAGGUCCAGACACGGGAAGGAUUGACAGAUUGAGAGCUCUUUCUUGAUUCUGUGGGUGGUGGUGCAUGGCCGUUCUUAGUUGGUGGGUUGCCUUGUCAGGUUGAUUCCGGUAACGAACGAGACCUCAGCCUGCUAAAUAGUCAGCAUCGCACCUGCGGUGCGCCGACUUCUUAGAGGGACUAUUGGCGUUUAGCCAAUGGAAGUAUGAGGCGAUAA
rnacentral:rRNA from 1 species